UUACGGGAGGCAGCAGUGGGGGAUAUUGCGCAAUGGGGGAAACCCUGACGCAGCAACGCCGCGUGAAGGAUGAAGGUUUUCGGAUCGUAAACUUUUUUAAGUGGGGAAGAUAGUGACGGUACCCACAGAAUAAGCCCCGGCUAAAUACGUGCCCGCAGCCGCGGUAAUACGUAGGUGGCGAGCGUUUUCUGGAUUUACUGGGUGUAAAGGGCGUGUAGGCGGGACUUUAAGUCAGAUGUGAAAUACCCAGGGUUAACCUCGGGGAUGCAUUUGAAACCGGAGUUCUUGAGUGUCGGAGAGGAAAGCGGAAUUCCUAGUGUAGCGGUGAAAUGUGUAGAUAUUUGGAGGAACACCAGUGGGGAAGGCGGCUUUCUGGACGAUAACUGACGCUGAGGCGCGAAAGCGUGGGGAGCAAACAGGAUUAGAUACCCUGGUAGUCCACGCCGUAAACGAUGGAUACUAGGUGUAGGAGGUAUCGACCCCUUCUGUGCCGGAGUUAACACAAUAAGUAUCCCACCU
rnacentral:rRNA from 1 species